rnacentral:tRNA from 1 species
GCCUGGGUGGCACAGCGGUUGAGCGUCUGCCUUUGGCUCAGGGCGUGUUCCCAGCGUUGUGGGAUCGAGCCCCACAUCAGGCU